rnacentral:rRNA from 1 species
GGGCCCGCACAAGCGGUGGAGCAUGUGGUUUAAUUCGAUGAUACGCGAGGAACCUUACCAGGGCUUAAAUGUAAGUUGCAUUAGUUAGAGAUAGCUAUUUCUUCGGACUACUUACAAGGUUGCUGCAUGGUUGUCGUCAGCUCGUGCCGUGAGGUGUCAGGUUAAGUCCUAUAACGAGCGCAACCCCUGUUGUUAGUUGCCAUCGAGUCAUGUCGGGAACUCUAACAAGACUGCCGGUGCAAACCGUGAGGAAGGUGGGGAUGACGUCAAAGUCAUCACGGCCCUUACGUCCUGGCUACACACGUGCUACAAUGGCCGGUACAGAGAGCAGCCACUACGCGAGUGGGAG